rnacentral:misc_RNA from 1 species
GAUGAAGAACGUAGCGAAAUGCGAUACUUGGUGUGAAUUGCAGAAUCCCGUGAACCAUCGAGUCUUUGAACGCAAGUUGCGCCCGAAGCCACUAGGCCGAGGGCACGCCUGCCUGGGCGUCACACGCCUUUGCCCCCCCAUCUACUCCUUCGGGAUUGCGGGGGGGCGGAUGAUGGCCUCCUGUGCGCCUAGCCGCGCGGUUGGCAUAAAUACCAAGUCCUCGGCGACGCACGCCACGACAAUCGGUGGUUGCGAAACCUCGGUUGCCCGUCGUGUGCGUUCGUCGCGCAUCGAGGGCUCGAAAAAAUGCUCGGCUCCGGCUGGGCUUUCAACGCGACCCCAGGUCAGGCGGGGUUACCCGCUGAAUUUAAGCAUAUCAAUAAGCGGAGGA